rnacentral:pre_miRNA from 1 species
GGAAUAUAAGAACCCGUCUCUUAACUUUUAACUAAAAAAGUUAAGAACCGGUUCUUAAAACUCUUAUUUAAGAACCGGUUCUUAGUUUUUUUAGUUAAAAGUUAAGAGGCGGAUUCUUAUAUUCC